UACAGAGGUGGCAAGCGUUGUUCGGAAUUACUGGGCGUAAAGGGCGCGUAGGCGGUUCUGUAAGUCCCGCGUGAAAUCCCCCGGCUCAACUGGGGAACUGCGCGGGAAACUGUGGGGCUAGAGUUCAGGAGAGGGAAGCGGAAUUCCGGGUGUAGCGGUGAAAUGCGUAGAUAUCUGGAGGAACACCGGUGGCGAAGGCGGCAUCCUGGACCGAGAUUGACGCUGAUGCGCGAAAGCGUGGGGAGCGAACAGG
rnacentral:rRNA from 1 species